CAGCAGCCGCGGUAAUACGAACCGUGCGAACGUUGUUCGGAAUCACUGGGCUUAAAGGGCGCGUAGGCGGGCCAGCAAGUCAGGGGUGAAAGCCCACGGCUCAACCGUGGAAGUGCCUUUGAUACUGCUGGUCUGGAGGGAGGUAGGGGCGUGCGGAACUUCCGGUGGAGCGGUGAAAUGCGUAGAUAUCGGAAGGAACACCGGUGGCGAAAGCGGCGCGCUGGACCUCUUCUGACGCUGAGGCGCGAAAGCCAGGGGAGCAAACGGGAUUAGAUACCCCGGUAGUCCUGGCCCUAAACGAUGGGUACUAGGUAGUGGACUUACAUGGGUUCACUGCCGAAGCAAAAGUGAUAAGUACCCCGCCUGGGGAGUAUGGUCGCAAGGCUGAAACUCAAAGGAAUUGACGG
rnacentral:rRNA from 1 species